GAUGAACGCUGGCGGAGUGCCUAACACAUGCAAGUCGAGCGGCAGCGCGAGUAGUUUACUCCUUGGCGGCGAGCGGCGGACGGCUGAGUAACGCGUGGGAACAUGCCCCAAAGUGAGGAAUAACUUCCCGAAAGGGUAGCUAAUGCCGCAUAUGAUCUUCGGAUUAAAGGAUUUAUCCGCUUUGGGAGUGGCCUGCGUACGAUUAGAUAGUUGGUGAGGUAAAGGCUCACCAAGUCGACGAUCGUUAACUGGUUUGAGAGGAUGAUCAGUCAGACUGGAACUGAGACACGGUCCAGACUCCUACGGGAGGCAGCAGUGAGGAAUCUUCCACAAUGGGCGAAAGCCUGAUGGAGCAACUCCGCGUGCAGGAUGAAGGCCUUCGGGUUGUAAACUGCUUUUAUGAGUGAAGAAUAUGACGGUAACUCAUGAAUAAGGGUCGGCUAACUACGUG
rnacentral:rRNA from 1 species